rnacentral:rRNA from 1 species
ACAUGCAGUCGAGGGGCAGCAUGAUUGAAGCUUGCUUCAAUUGAUGGCGACCGGCGCACGGGUGAGUAACGCGUAUCCAACCUUCCGUACACUCAGGGAUAGCCUUUCGAAAGAAAGAUUAAUACCUGAUGGUAUGAUGAGAUUGCAUGAUAGCAUCAUUAAAGAUUUAUCGGUGUACGAUGGGGAUGCGUUCCAUUAGGUAGUAGGCGGGGUAACGGCCCACCUAGCCUACGAUGGAUAGGGGUUCUGAGAGGAAGGUCCCCCACAUUGGAACUGAGACACGGUCCAAACUCCUACGGGAGGCAGCAGUGAGGAAUAUUGGUCAAUGGACGAGAGUCUGAACCAGCCAAGUAGCGUGAAGGAUGAAGGUCCUACGGAUUGUAAACUUCUUUUAUAAGGGAAUAAAACCUCCCACGUGUGGGAGCUUGUAUGUACCUUAUGAAUAAGCAUCGGCUAACUCCGUGCCAGCAGCCGCGGUAAUACGGAGGAUGCGAGCGUUAUCCGGAUUUAUUGGGUUUAAAGGGAGCGCAGACGGGUCGUCAAGUCAGCUGUGAAAGUUUGGGGCUCAACCUUAAAAUUGCAGUUGAUACUGGCGUCCUUGAGUGCGGUUGAGGUGUGCGGAAUUCGUGGUGUAGCGGUGAAAUGCUUAGAUAUCACGAAGAACUCCGAUUGCGAAGGCAGCACACUAAGCCGUAACUGACGUUCAUGCUCGAAAGUGUGGGUAUCAAACAGGAUUAGAUACCCUGGUAGUCCACACGGUAAACGAUGGAUACUCGCUGUUGGCGAUAUACAGUCAGCGGCUUAGCGAAAGCGUUAAGUAUCCCACCUGGGGAGUACGCCGGCACGGUGAAACUCAAAGGAAUUGACGGGGGCCCGCACAAGCGGAGGAACAUGUGGUUUAAUUCGAUGAUACGCGAGGAACCUU